rnacentral:lncRNA from 1 species
AUAUUUCAUGAAGUAUACCUUCUAUCAUACAAAACAGUCUUACCUGAUUCAGACUAUAGGGCCAAGCCAAACUGUACUGUGCUCGUUCUGAUAUUUUAUUUUCACAUUGUCCUUUCCAGGUAGGUUCCAGCAACUAUGUUUGACUAGGCCAGCCCAAUAUACUGUAGGUUGGCUUUGCUCAGUAGUUUUAAAAAGGGUUCUGUGGUACACAAAGAUUACUUUGCACCUUUCUUUGAUGUAGCUGCUUUGUUUUUUUCUUUAUGAACUUCAGCUUCUAAAACCAUCAUUGGACAAGACAAAACAUCAAUCUCAAGAAUUACGCCAUUAUUCAUUUGAUACAAGUUAAAAACAUCCUAUCUGUACCUUUUUUUGCAGGUUCUGGUUUGGCUUGUUCCUUAGUUUCCUUGGGCUCUACACAAACAAGAACAGUAACAUAUUUGAACGAUGGCUCCGGAGGUGAUGGCUGACGUUUUUUGUGCUCCUAACCAAUUGUGCUAUUUUGUGUGUUUUUUUUAAAGUAAUUUGAGGGUUCUUUUGUACAUAAGGUUUCUGCCACUGUCUUAUAUGACUGAAAAGAGCUUCUGGAUAUCAGAAUAGCCAUGAAGAUUUUUUUAAAUAUUUUUUCUUUAACGACUCGGACACAAAGGAUGUACUUCAGACACUCGACAAGGCCCGAAUCCCUGUCAUUCGCAUGAAGAAGAGAUGGAGAUAUCGGAGACGUAGGUCGGGGUGCGUUGUGAGGAUCUGACAGUGAGUGAGUAAUCCCCCUCUACCAUCAAUCCUAUUAGCCAACAAGCAAUCAAUGUAUGAGCUCCAAUCAAAUCUAUCCUACCAACAGGACAUUAAAAACUGUAAUAUCUUAUGUUUCACCGAGUCGUGGCUGAAAGACGACAUGGAUAACAUACAGCUGGCUGGAUUACCAGUUAAUCGGGGUUAUAUCCUGCCUGUUUGGCCCUGUCCGGGGGGUAUCAUCGGAUGGGGCCACAGUGUCUUCUGAUCCCUCCUGUCUCAGCCUCCAGUAUUU